rnacentral:sRNA from 3 species
GCAUCUGAAACCUGACGAGGAUGAGAACCUCCGGGGGCAAGAGGUUCGACCCGAGCGAAGCGAGAGAACGUUGCGUCAGCAACGGCCCGCAGUGGCAAGUCAUCCUCUGUCACCGGCAG